GACGAACGCUGGCGGCGUGCUUAACACAUGCAAGUCGAGCGGUAAGGCCCUUUCGGGGUACGACGAGCGGCGAACGGGUGAGUAACACGUGGGUGACCUGCCCUCAGCUCUGGGAUAAGCCUGGGAAACCGGGUCUAAUACUGGAUAUGACUCCAUGACGCAGUGUUGUGGGGUGGAAAGCCUUGUGCGGCUGAGGAUGGGCCCGCGGCCUAUCAGCUU
rnacentral:rRNA from 1 species